CAAUCUGGAAAGGAAACAAGAUGAGCUGUUUCCUCAUUCCUCUGCUUUACCUGCUUUAUACAGUAACUGUGAGGCCUGUGUACCAAGUACUGAAGUGGGUGAAGGUGAAACAGGAUGCUACAACAGGAUAAAUCCAGAGCAGAAUGCUUUGAAGGUCAGUGUGCAGAAGGACUGGCAAGAUGUUCCAAUGAAAUAAGAAAAACCGACCAGCCAGGGAAGAAGAUUUUAUUGCUUUAAAGUUUUCAGUUUUUAGUUCAUAUUUCUUUCAUAUCACUUUUAACUGAACACACAACAUAACACUCACUUCCACUGCUUUGAACUUACUGUUUUGUUUGUAAAAAUUAAUUGAAAAUAUCUUGGACAGUUUUCUACACUGUGAUGUUUUUGUGUGUUUUUUCACACUCAAUCAAUGUUACUAGGAGACAUGUGACUGUUUUAUAUUUGUCUCUUGAAGUACAGUCAAAAUAACUAAGACCCAGACAUUAUGUCAAUCAUUUUUGAAACUCUAAAUAUGCUUGAAAGUGACUAAAUAAUUCCAGGUCAUGCAGUUUACAUUGGCAGUUUAACUUGAACAAAGAAGAAGGAUA